rnacentral:rRNA from 1 species
GAUCCUGGCUCAGGAUGAACGCUAGCUACAGGCUUAACACAUGCAAGUCGAGGGGCAGCAUGGUCUUAGCUUGCUAAGGCUGAUGGCGACCGGCGCACGGGUGAGUAACACGUAUCCAACCUGCCGUCUACUCUUGGCCAGCCUUCUGAAAGGAAGAUUAAUACCUGAUGGUAUCUUAAGCACACAUGUAAUUAAGAUUAAAGAUUUAUCGGUGUACGAUGGGGAUGCG